rnacentral:ncRNA from 1 species
UCAAAGUUUUAUUCUAGCUUUACAAACUCACGGGAAAUGUACUAUAUGGAUUCUUUUGAGUAAAUUAAUAAAGAAAUUUUUAUUUAAUACUUCCAAUAGUAAAAUUUGGUAGCAGGUUUAUCUGGGGCCAGCAUAAUUCUGAUAAAACUAGUGCCAGCAGUCGCGGUUAGACUAGUAGGAAUGAGUUUAAUUCAAAGAGAAGAUGGAAUAAUGGUUUCUUAAAGAGAGGUGGAAUCUUCAUUUUUUGAACCUUUAAAUUACUAUUAAAUUCGAAACCUAAGAAAUAAACAAGGAUUAGAUACCCUUCUAUACUUAGGAGUAAGUAUCUUAAGAGAGUAGUUGUUAAGAUCUUGAAAUCUAAAGAAUAUGACGGUGUUUAAACUAAUCAGAGGAACCUGCCCAAUAAACGAUAAUCCACGAUAAAUCUUACCCUUCUUAGGUUUGUAUACCGUUGUCUAAGUUUAUCUAAAAAGAAUUGAACUAAAAUUAAUCAAUAAAAAAAUCAGAUCAAGGUGCAGCUUGGAAGGGGUGUGGUGGGUUACAAUUAAUCUUUAGUGGAGUAAUAUAUAACUUACUAUGCAAAAUGGAUUUGAAAGUAAUUACAGUUUAACAAGCUUUAAUGAUUAUAACCUUAAGCAUGUACAUAUCGCCCGUCACUCUCAGAAAUGAGAUAAGUCGUAACAAAGUAGAAGUACUGGAAAGUGCUUCUUUUUUUUU